CCUACGGGUGGCAGCAGUGAGGAAUAUUGGUCAAUGGACGAGAGUCUGAACCAGCCAAGUAGCGUGAAGGAUGACUGCCCUAUGGGUUGUAAACUUCUUUUAUAUGGGAAUAAAAUGUUCCACGUGUAGGAUUUUGUAUUUACCAUAUGAAUAAGGAUAGGCUAACUCCGUUCCAGCCGCCGCGGUAAUACGGAGGAUCCGAGCGUUAUCCGGAUUUAUUUGGUGUAAAGGGAGCGUAGGUGGAUUGUUAAGUCAGUUGUGAAAGUUUGCGGCUCAACCGUAAAAUUGCAGUUGAAACUGGCAGUCUUGAGUACAGUAGAGGGGGGCAGAAUGCGUGGUGUAGCGGUGAAAUGCGUAGAUAUCACGAAGAACGCCGAUGGCGAAGGCAGCUCACUGGACUGCAACUGACACUGAGGCUCGAAAGUGUGGGUAUCAAACAGGAUUAGAUACCCUUGUAGUC
rnacentral:rRNA from 1 species